rnacentral:rRNA from 1 species
GACGAACGCUGGCGGCGUGCUUAACACAUGCAAGUCGAACGAUGAAGCUGGAGCUUGCUCCGGUGGAUUAGUGGCGAACGGGUGAGUAACACGUGAGCAAUCUGCCCUUGACUCUGGGAUAACUGCGGGAAACUGUAGCUAAUACCGGAUAUGAGGCUCGAAGGCAUCUUCGGGUCUGGAAAGAAUUUCGGUCAAGGAUGAGCUCGCGGCCUAUCAGCUUGUUGGUGAGGUAAUGGCUCACCAAGGCGACGACGUGUAGCCGGCCUGAGAGGGUGACCGGCCACACUGGGACUGAGACACGGCCCAGACUCCUACGGGAGGCAGCAGUGGGGAAUAUUGCACAAUGGGCGAAAGCCUGAUGCAGCAACGCCGCGUGAGGGAUGAAGGCCUUCGGGUUGUAAACCUCUUUUAGCAGGGAAGAAGCGAAAGUGACGGUACCUGCAGAAAAAGCACCGGCUAACUACGUGCCAGCCGCCGCGGUAA